rnacentral:rRNA from 1 species
UUAAGCGACUAAGCGUACACGGUGGAUGCCCUGGCAGUCAGAGGCGAUGAAGGACGUGCUAAUCUGCGAUAAGCGUCGGUAAGGUGAUAUGAACCGUUAUAACCGGCGAUUUCCGAAUGGGGAAACCCAGUGUGAUUCGUCACACUAUCAUUAACUGAAUCCAUAGGUUAAUGAGGCGAACCGGGGGAACUGAAACAUCUAAGUACCCCGAGGAAAAGAAAUCAACCGAGAUUCCCCCAGUAGCGGCGAGCGAACGGGGAGCAGCCCAGAGUCUGAAUCAGUGUGUGUGUUAGUGGAAGCGUCUGGAAAGGCGCGCGAUACAGGGUGACAGCCCCGUACACAAAAAUGCACAUGCUGUGAGCUCGAUGAGUAGGGCGGGACACGUGGUAUCCUGUCUGAAUAUGGGGGGACCAUCCUCCAAGGCUAAAUACUCCUGACUGACCGAUAGUGAACCAGUACCGUGAGGGAAAGGCGAAAAGAACCCCGGCGAGGGGAGUGAAAAAGAACCUGAAACCGUGUACGUACAAGCAGUGGGAGCCUCUUUUAUGGGGUGACUGCGUACCUUUUGUAUAAUGGGUCAGCGACUUAUAUUCUGUAGCAAGGUUAACCGAAUAGGGGAGCCGAAGGGAAACCGAGUCUUAACUGGGCGUUAAGUUGCAGGGUAUAGACCCGAAACCCGGUGAUCUAGCCAUGGGCAGGUUGAAGGUUGGGUAACACUAACUGGAGGACCGAACCGACUAAUGUUGAAAAAUUAGCGGAUGACUUGUGGCUGGGGGUGAAAGGCCAAUCAAACCGGGAGAUAGCUGGUUCUCCCCGAAAGCUAUUUAGGUAGCGCCUCGUGAAUUCAUCUCCGGGGGUAGAGCACUGUUUCGGCAAGGGGGUCAUCCCGACUUACCAACCCGAUGCAAACUGCGAAUACCGGAGAAUGUUAUCACGGGAGACACACGGCGGGUGCUAACGUCCGUCGUGAAGAGGGAAACAACCCAGACCGCCAGCUAAGGUCCCAAAGUCAUGGUUAAGUGGGAAACGAUGUGGGAAGGCCCAGACAGCCAGGAUGUUGGCUUAGAAGCAGCCAUCAUUUAAAGAAAGCGUAAUAGCUCACUGGUCGAGUCGGCCUGCGCGGAAGAUGUAACGGGGCUAAACCAUGCACCGAAGCUGCGGCAGCGACGCUUAUGCGUUGUUGGGUAGGGGAGCGUUCUGUAAGCCUGUGAAGGUGUGCUGUGAGGCAUGCUGGAGGUAUCAGAAGUGCGAAUGCUGACAUAAGUAACGAUAAAGCGGGUGAAAAGCCCGCUCGCCGGAAGACCAAGGGUUCCUGUCCAACGUUAAUCGGGGCAGGGUGAGUCGACCCCUAAGGCGAGGCCGAAAGGCGUAGUCGAUGGGAAACAGGUUAAUAUUCCUGUACUUGGUGUUACUGCGAAGGGGGGACGGAGAAGGCUAUGUUGGCCGGGCGACGGUUGUCCCGGUUUAAGCGUGUAGGCUGGUUUUCCAGGCAAAUCCGGAAAAUCAAGGCUGAGGCGUGAUGACGAGGCACUACGGUGCUGAAGCAACAAAUGCCCUGCUUCCAGGAAAAGCCUCUAAGCAUCAGGUAACAUCAAAUCGUACCCCAAACCGACACAGGUGGUCAGGUAGAGAAUACCAAGGCGCUUGAGAGAACUCGGGUGAAGGAACUAGGCAAAAUGGUGCCGUAACUUCGGGAGAAGGCACGCUGAUAUGUAGGUGAAGCGACUUGCUCGUGGAGCUGAAAUCAGUCGAAGAUACCAGCUGGCUGCAACUGUUUAUUAAAAACACAGCACUGUGCAAACACGAAAGUGGACGUAUACGGUGUGACGCCUGCCCGGUGCCGGAAGGUUAAUUGAUGGGGUCAGCGCAAGCGAAGCUCUUGAUCGAAGCCCCGGUAAACGGCGGCCGUAACUAUAACGGUCCUAAGGUAGCGAAAUUCCUUGUCGGGUAAGUUCCGACCUGCACGAAUGGCGUAAUGAUGGCCAGGCUGUCUCCACCCGAGACUCAGUGAAAUUGAACUCGCUGUGAAGAUGCAGUGUACCCGCGGCAAGACGGAAAGACCCCGUGAACCUUUACUAUAGCUUGACACUGAACAUUGAGCCUUGAUGUGUAGGAUAGGUGGGAGGCUUUGAAGUGUGGACGCCAGUCUGCAUGGAGCCGACCUUGAAAUACCACCCUUUAAUGUUUGAUGUUCUAACGUUGGCCCCUAAUCGGGGUUGCGGACAGUGUCUGGUGGGUAGUUUGACUGGGGCGGUCUCCUCCUAAAGAGUAACGGAGGAGCACGAAGGUUGGCUAAUCCUGGUCGGACAUCAGGAGGUUAGUGCAAUGGCAUAAGCCAGCUUGACUGCGAGCGUGACGGCGCGAGCAGGUGCGAAAGCAGGUCAUAGUGAUCCGGUGGUUCUGAAUGGAAGGGCCAUCGCUCAACGGAUAAAAGGUACUCCGGGGAUAACAGGCUGAUACCGCCCAAGAGUUCAUAUCGACGGCGGUGUUUGGCACCUCGAUGUCGGCUCAUCACAUCCUGGGGCUGAAGUAGGUCCCAAGGGUAUGGCUGUUCGCCAUUUAAAGUGGUACGCGAGCUGGGUUUAGAACGUCGUGAGACAGUUCGGUCCCUAUCUGCCGUGGGCGCUGGAGAACUGAGGGGGGCUGCUCCUAGUACGAGAGGACCGGAGUGGACGCAUCACUGGUGUUCGGGUUGUCAUGCCAAUGGCACUGCCCGGUAGCUAAAUGCGGAAGAGAUAAGUGCUGAAAGCAUCUAAGCACGAAACUUGCCCCGAGAUGAGUUCUCCCUGACCCUUUAAGGGUCCUGAAGGAACGUUGAAGACGACGACGUUGAUAGGCCGGGUGUGUAAGCGCAGCGAUGCGUUGAGCUAACCGGUACUAAUGAACCGUGAGGCUUAACCUU